CCUACGGGGGGCAGCAGUGGGGAAUAUUGCACAAUGGGGGGAACCCUGAUGCAGCGACGCCGCGUGAGUGAAGAAGUAUUUCGGUAUGUAAAGCUCUAUCAGCAGGGAAGAAAAUGACGGUACCUGACUACGACCCCCCGGCUAACUACGUGCCAGCAGCCGCGGUAAGACGUAGGGGGCAAGCGUUUUCCGGAUUUACUGGGUGUAAAGGGGGCGUAGACGGUGAUGGAAGUCUGAAGGGAAACCCCAAGGCUCAACCAUGGGACUGCUUUGGAAACUGUAAAACUGGAGUGCAGGAGAGGUAAGCGGAAUUCCUAGUGUAGCGGUGAAAUGCGUAGAUAUUAGGAGGAACACCAGUGGCGAAGGCGGCUUACUGGACUGUAACUGACGUUGAGGCUCGAAGGCGUGGGGAGCAAACAGGAUUAGAUACCCCAGUAGUC
rnacentral:rRNA from 1 species